rnacentral:rRNA from 1 species
UACAGAGGGUGCAAGCGUUAAUCGGAUUUACUGGGCGUAAAGCGUGCGUAGGCGGUUAGAUAAGUCGGAUGUGAAAUCCCUGGGCUCAACCUGGGAACUGCAUUCGAUACUGUCUGACUAGAAUUCGGUAGAGGGUGGCGGAACUCCGGGUGUAGCGGUGAAAUGCGUAGAUAUCCGGAAGAACACCGAUGGCGAAGGCAACCACCUGGGCCUGAAUUGACGCUGAGGCACGAAAGCGUGAGGAGCAAACGGG